CCUAGCCCUAGAGAUGAAGCUUGACGUGAAUGUGCUGCGCUAUCUCUCCAAGGAUGAAUUUCGUGUUCUCACGGCUGUGGAGAUGGGGAUGAAGAAUCAUGAAAUCGUUCCUGCCGAGCUUAUCGAUCGCAUUGCCGGGCUCAAGACUGGUGGAGCUUACAAGAACAUACGAACUCUUUUGCGACACAAACUCGUUCAUCACGACUCUACGAAGUACGAUGGCUAUCGCCUCACAAAUCUUGGUUAUGAUUUUCUGGCGAUCAAAACCAUGGUGAAUCGUGGAUUGAUCGUGGGAGUCGGUCGUCAAAUUGGUGUUGGCAAAGAAUCCGAUAUCUUUGAAGUAGUUGCUGAAGAUGGACAAACUUUAGCACUCAAGCUCCAUCGUCUGGGACGAACUUCAUUCAGAGCUGUAAAAUCAAAGCGAGACUACCUCAAACAUCGAAGUAGCUUUAACUGGUUAUAUCUUUCACGUCUUGCGGCUCUCAAGGAAUUUGCUUUCAUGAAGGCUCUGCAUGAACAUGGAUUUCCCACUCCAAAAGCAGUUGAUUGGAAUCGACACUGUGUUUUAAUGACUCUUGUUCCAGGCUAUCCUCUGGUGCAAGUGAAAGAGCUGAAGAAUCCAGCACUCGUGUUUGACACGGUAAUUAGCCUGAUCGUUCGUCUUGCUGAACACGGCCUUAUUCACUGUGAUUUCAACGAGUUCAAUCUCUUGAUAGAUGAUGACGAAAAGGUUACAAUGAUCGAUUUUCCUCAGAUGGUUUCAAUCUCUCACCGGAAUGCGGAAUCAUACUUUGAUCGGGACGUAGAUUGUAUCUACAAGUUCUUUCUGAAAAGGUUUAACUAUGUUCCGGGCGGCAAUGCUCGAACUUUGCAAGGGAUUGAUAAUAAUGUGGACGAAGACGACACAAGACCAGAUUUUGUAAACUUGGCGAGAACAGCCGGAGCCUUGGAUAAGGAACUGGCCGCAAGUGGCUUCACUCAUCAAAACCAAGAAGAUUUGGAUCAGUAUAUAGCACAACAUAAAUCCGAUUCUGAUGGAAAUGCCGCAUCGGAUUCUGACGCAGAGGCCAGCGACAACAGCGAUCCUGGUGAGAGUGAGAUUGCAGGAAAGCUAAACAACACUUCUUUGCAAGCCGAGGAAAAACAAAGCUCUUCAUGCAGUGAAGACGAAACCACAGGGCCCAAGAACGACCACAUACGGUUGCAAAGGUUUAGACGCCGAGAAGCUUCUGCCGUCCGCGGUGGUGAACGACCAGAUCUUCAUCUGUCUCGAAACGUGAACAAAGAUAAAGGAGGAAAGAGAUCGCGUCAAGCCAAGGCGAGACUGGACUGCGCAGGCUUUUGACGUGAACAGUGUCCCUCAGUGUAAGUCUUUAUGUUCUCCACAGUUUCUGGACAAGUUCUUAUGAUCCCACAGUUUCUGGCGUCAAGGCCGUGGCUUGACUCAACUUUCAGUGGAAAUUUCUUGUGGGCAACGUGUGAUAUAGGAACGUUCUUCCACCAGUCAAGUUUCGCAGUAGUACUCAAUGUGGUAUGAGGUUUUAGAGAUCCUCACAGGAAGAAUGAGGCAGAUCUUUACAAA